rnacentral:lncRNA from 1 species
AGUUAAUACACACCGGAAACCACGCGCAUACACGCCCGUUAAUGGGCUUAGGUAUUAGCGAGUCCUAACGAUGCAUACAAAUGUGCUCUGUGCUCUGUAGGCCCCUCAAGAUUUAUGGGCCUUGAGCUCUCUGAAGCUGUAAACAAGGAGAAAAAAAGAGAAAGCGAGAGAGACUGGGGGAAAGAGACAGAGGCCUGAAUCGCCCCUCCAGAUUGUGGGAGAGAAGGGAUUUUUAUAUUUUUUCCUUGCCUUAGGAGCUCGGUGCGUGUGGGUUUUCGCAUUGGUCUGGGGGUGGUAUGCUGCGUGAAUGCUGGUGUGCGUGGGCAGCGUGUGGUUUGUGUGGUGGGGUAUGAGCACCUCUGCCUCCUUUGAGUUGCCGUGCAAGGGCCUAAACAUAGCAGGCAUUUGUGGACAUAUAUUUGUGUGUGCACUGUGUUAGGUGUGAGUGUCUGCCUGCCCCACGCACGUGUGACAAGGAGGCCUCCCUCUGGGCCAGGCUGCUGUCCCCUGAACCUGGUGAACAAAUCUCUAACAGCAAUCAUAAUAACAAUAAAUAACAUAACUAAUAAAAACAGUAGUUAACAGUCCCUCCCUAGUAGGAUAACAAUAAAAUGUCAGGGGAGGCGUUUUGAGGAGCCAGUGAAGGAGUCACCAUCUCAGAAUCUAAAGGGAAGACUGGAAAGGAAGGAAGUUAGCUUCUUUAAAUGCCUUUGAGGGGCUGGGGUUGGGAAUCCCCUCCCCAGACUGGGUUCUUGGCCCACAGGAGGGGAGGAAAGCCAGGAGGCCACUUUUCUGCUGCUUUUUCUAUGGCGUUUACUCCACAUAUGGGGUGGUUAGUAGCUUUGGGGGCUCUCUGAGAACCCCUGUUUUAAAGAGGAGGCCAAAUGUGCCGAGUCAGGCCGAGGGGCAAAGAAGGACGGGGCGAUGACCACAGUCUCCGGUCCUGGCCGCCGGGCGCCGAAGUGCCCGAGGACGAGCCGCGGGGCCGGGGAGAAAGCAGAAAAAUAUUUAUGGCCGCCCGCCCGGGAGUGAGGAGAGCGGGCGAGUGAGGCUGGGGCUCCUGCAAGUGAAAGUUCCUUUCCUGGAGUCUUUUUAAAAAGAAAGGAGAGGUUGAGGCGCCUUGAAUUUUCCUCCUGGAGAUUAGAGCCCAGCGGAUUUCUGUAAAGGAAGCGAAGACCGAGGUCCGGGUUCCUGCAGUGUCAGCCUCCUUCUCUCCAGCGGUGACCCAUUUGGUCUGAAAAGAGAUGCAGAGAUACGGGACCCACUGAGUCACCUUUUUCAAACCCUGCAGGCCUCUCUACUUGCCCAGUUCUCACCCACCAGGACACUGACGGAAGGGGCUUCUGGGCUGCCCCCCACCCACUCCUGCUUGGCUUCCCAAAGUCCAGCGACCUCCAACCCUCCUUGGGGAAAAAAUACCUGUACCCAGGCACCUUAGCCCCCUGUGCUAUGUGACCGGGCUCCCUCAGGAAUAUUGUACAAAGAAGAAGAAAGAACAGCUCACUCGGGAGCCGUGUUUACAUCUAGUUGUACUGAUCCAUCCACAUCUGGAGGGUUUAUUUAUAACUCCUUCUAUAACUCUUUCUAUUCAGAGGCACUGGUGGCUCUAUUGACAGACUGAUGCCUACAAAAUAUUGCUCUAUCUCUAACCAUACCUAAAUGUUCUGUGGUUGUAUUUACAGAUUUAUGCUUGAGGAAAAUAUAAUUAUUUCCAUUGUAUUUGUGCAUAUACAAUAGUUAUAGGAGCAGAUUUAUAUAUGGGAAAAUAUAUGACUCUCUUACAGCCAUCCAGUUUUAUGGACAUUUGAUAUCCUGACAGAUUUAUAUCUCUGAGCAGCUGUAUAGAUAAAUGUAUAUCAUUAGAAUUAUGUAUCAGGAGAUAUAUACUUAUUGAUUGUGAUAUAGAGUAGUUAGAGCAUUCACUUGCAGCCAUAUAUGACUAUGGAGAUAUUUCUAUAUUAUUAUCACUAUAUGUAGGCAUAUCUAUUUAUAACCACAUAGUUAUAAAAAUAGACAUAAGUAAUUAUAGUCCUAUAUGUACAUGCUGCUAUCUCUCUCUAGAGUUAUAGACACUUUUGAGUAUAACUCUAUAGAGAUCCGUAUGUAUAUAAGGUGUAAUUAUCUCGCGAUGUGUGCGCAUUGGGAUUCAGGCCAGUGUAUCUCUGAACAGACAUAUUUAUGUGUAGGGCCCCCGGGAGAGACUUGUUCAUGGAGAUAACUGCAGAGGGCCCACUGAAAAACUGUAUCUGGCCAUCCAGGAAACUAGCUCGCAGAGUUCUUUACUCAGGGAGAAAUGGAGUUACAAAAGGGUAAAUAGCGCAUGGGAAGCAUCCCAGAGGGGAGACCAACGGAGGGUGACUGGGGCUUCCCUGCAAUAGAGGACCGAGAAGGGAAAGCGGUAAACACGGUAUGUCAGAAGGCAUCGGCGGUUUUCUUGAGGUGCUGGCACAGACAGGUGUGAACUAGGGACUUACAGAAGGAAGACCGUGACGCUCUUACUGCCCCGCCUGGAGGUGCCCUUGGGCUUCGGUUUGGCUUUUAGUGCACUAAAGGUAGGAGGGAGUGGUCCUCCCCACCCAUUCCUAGGAUGUUUCU